UGGGGAAUAUUGGACAAUGGGGGAAACCCUGAUCCAGCAAUGCCGCGUGAGUGAAGAAGGCCUUAGGGUUGUAAAGCUCUUUCGCCCGCGAAGAUAAUGACGGUAGCGGGAGAAGAAGCCCCGGCUAACUCCGUGCCAGCAGCCGCGGUAAUACGGAGGGUGCAAGCGUUAAUCGGAAUUACUGGGCGUAAAGCGUGCGCAGGCGGUUUGUUAAGUCUGCUGUGAAAUCCCCGAGCUCAACUUGGGAAUUGCAGUGGAUACUGGCAAGCUGGAGUACGGUAGAGGAAGGUGGAAUUCCCGGUGUAGCAGUGAAAUGCGUAGAGAUCGGGAGGAACACCAGUGGCGAAGGCGGCCUUCUGGACCAGUACUGACGCUCAUGCACGAAAGCGUGGGGAGCAAACA
rnacentral:rRNA from 1 species